GCCAGCCAAUAGGAGCCUGAGUCUGCAACGGCCUGGGCCUGCUCUUACUGGCGGAAUGAUACAAAUAAGGUGAUUACAAACAUAUUUCCUGCUAUGAUAAACUAGGAGGAUGAGAAACCUGAAGUAUUCACACUGGGAUCAGACAGUUACCUCAUGGGGCAUCAGAAAGCACAGCCGAUACAGAGGCGUAUGUCUGGUCCCUCCAUUCUUCACCCCUGCUUGUAGUUUGAGCUACUCUUGGCCUUUGGUCUACAGCAACAGACAGCAGCCUGAAGGCCAGGUUAAUAGCAGCUCCAGAAGAGACCCACCCAUGUUCCACUUCAGUAAUCACCUGAGCUCUAUCCAGCAUGAAAAUUACACCAUCCUCCUGAAAGACAGAAGAAUGCUUCUGAAGCCCAGCAGUCUUAAAUUACCUUCAUGAAGUGCAGCUGGACUGUAGCAAUAAAUUAUUUGUCAAUAAGUACAGUUUGUCAACAAGUACAGCUGAAAAUAAACUAUGGCAUAACUAGACUACACUUGAAGGUCCCAUCAAAUUCUCUUCUUUUAAGCUCUCACAGAUGAAACAAAUACUUUCUAACAUAGCUUCAAGGGGCCUCUCUUUUAUACUGCAUAUUCUGUUUUGGCAUCUGACCACUAGACAAGAAUGUUCUAGGUUGAGAUUGAAAGUAAAUAAAACCUCAAACUAAUGUCUUCCUUCAAAGGUCAAGUGCAUCAUGACUUUUUAAGACACAUCUGGGUAAGCAGAUUACAAACCACGGCUCAAUUUGUGAGCAAGAAACAUUCUGCAUGAACUCACAGAGUUGAGUUCAUGCGGUCAGAAAUUUCCAAACUUAAAGUACACCAGAAGAUAAAUCACUAAGUGGCAUAUUAGAGGCUACUAGAGGCCUAUUAGAGCCUAAGAGGCUAUUGCACUUUGGUGCAUUCUUACACAAAAUACCUGUCAUGCUGCAAACACAGUCUACUUCACACAUUCUGGUCAGGCAGGAGGUUAUUUCAACAGCUAUAGGACAGAAAGGAGAAUGGUUCAGUCCUCUAUCAGUACAAACCAUGACAUAUCACAACUCUACUAGGGUUUGUGUACGUUUACAGCAGAUACAAACUGCUCUGUGAAGGGGAUUGAUACGUCAGGGCAGCAGCAUCUUUAUAGAGGGGAAAGGUGUUUCAGCAGAUGUACCCAUUUCUUCCUGAUAACUCAGAAACUGCAUCCCUGUGAAUGCACAGCCCUCUGUCCAGCUCCUCCAUCUGUGAUGCUGCUGUGUCCUUGAUCUAGUUUUGACCACACCAAGGACUGCUUCCAUAUACCAGCCAGAAAGUGGUUUCGUUUUGGACAUUGCUAGAAUAUUCAGACAAAGUCGGCACUUAGUCUCUCAACUUGAGCAGAAAGUCAAAAUUUUGAAGUUCUGAAAUUUAUUACCAUCUAAUUGAAGGGUUUGGAGGUGGGUUUGUUUUCAUCAGUGUUGUUCAUUUUUAAAGAAAGUCAUGCCAUCUUGAAUACAGUAUGACUGAAACAAAUGCAGAAUUUUACUGUCACAACCCUACACUUGUUCCAGCCUAGUCCCAGCAACUUCAAACUUCUUUCAUGGUGUUAGAACUACUUCAAGCAGAACAUCAAGCAGUUCUGUCUUUUUUCUUUUCACAUGUGGGACACUUCUGCCUUGGUUUCUGCAACUGGUCUCUCCCCCUGCACCACACACAGUAAAAUCCUCCAUAUACUCAAAUUCUUGCAUGGCCUUAAAUGUGCAAUUGUUUGAAUUUCUCUUGAAGGAGGUGAUAACAUGUCAGCUUCAAAUACAAGUGGAGUUAUUGUUAAUGUGAAUACUCUUCUAAUGAUAGGUGUUAAUUAAGGUAUCACUAAAAGCAGCACUCUUCAUAAGCACAGCUAACUGCAGGAUGUAAUAUGGGUCCAGGGAACAGAGUAUGUGUUUUUCAGUAUUGAUAAACAAAGCCAGGACUGGGAGCCCAGGAUUCAGUCAAGAUCUCAACUCAUUCCCCUUGCCUAACCUUCAUUCUCUGCUCUCUUCACCAGAUAGGACUAUAUGUAAGAGCAGCUUUAUGAGGUUGUAGAGAUGAGGUAUCUAGAUGUAGAUAAUGGAAUUUUGCCUUGGUGAUGCCAACAAGAUACAGCUGCAUUCCAAUUUAUGUGGACUGCACUGGGUCACAAAAUGUGUAUGCACUGGCAUUGCAUCAGCAUACCUGGAGCUUCAGAGGACCCUUCAAAUAUCUCAAUCUCCAGAGAUGGCAUUCUAUGGGUUAUUAUGUAUUAUACUGGGAGAAGCCAGGAGAAGCUUGCACAAUGAAAUAGAGAUUGCAUGCUAUCUGUUGAAGAGAACUUAAGGUUUUGACAGUCCUGGUAGCAACCUGAGUGCCUUUCAAAACCAAACUGAAGCUACUGCCAAAGAAGAGAAUCUCAGUAAAUGACCUUGUUCUGGGACAAAGCCCCACUUAUUCAAAUAAAAUAACUUCCUUUGAAAAUAAUUUUGAUCCAAGCAUAACUGCAUUAGUAAAUUUUAUGUUUACAUGGGAAGUGUGCCCUCAUAUUAUACUUGGGAAAACAGUAAUCUCUGAAAAAGAUGUCCUUUGAUGUCCUGUGCCUGCACGUAAGGUUAUUUGUACGAGAAGGAUUGGGGAGGUUUGGCUACUGCCUGUACAAAGUGGUUGUUUAUUAUUCUAAGAAUCUAUUGAUUUUUCAAUGUCCUACAAAUCCAAGUAGGCAGAGUUACUGGAAUAGCCAGUACAAACACUUCCAGGACAGUGCUUGUAUCUAUUUACAACCUGCCUAUAACUUUUGUUUAUCUGUUUGAAUUGUUAGUUCAGUACCUGCCCAGAGAGAAAUCUAUAUAAGAACACCCCUUUGCCAAGUUUCUUCAACUUCUCUUUGAAGUAUUUCUUUGGGAUUGUACCACUAUGCUUAAAUGCAGGGGGUUUUGGAUAGAAAUAGCACCUUCCAUUGCAACUUCUUCACCUGACACUGACAGCAUUAAUUGCGAUCAGAGAGUCAUGAGAUUGAUCAUUGAACUUCAUGUACUAGAGAAAUUUAAAUUACACUGAGGAGGUAGAAGGCUUAAAAGUGUUUCUGUUCGGUAUUUGUCAUUUAUAUGUCCAUCUUCACAGAAACUGACAGAAAAAAAUAUUAGGGUUGCCCUUUUAUGAAUAUUGCCUGCAGAGAGAACAUGUAACAGUUAAACUCUUAUCAGUGCCUGGUUUUAACAAAAAAACUCAGCUGUACAAAAGGCAAAACCAGGCUGUUCACAGGGUGGAAAUGAAAUGAAAAGCAAAAAAACCCUGUCAUGUAUGUACCAACUACUACUUGUGUUCUGCAGAACAUUGCAGUCUAGAUUUAACUCAUACUUCAGGAAGAGCUACUUCAGGAAGAGAGUACAUAUUUUGUAUGCACUCUCAACUGAGAAGAAAAGUGAAAGAUUAAGUUAGUAUUAAAAAUGCAGAUCAAGAUAUCAUGACAGCAUUUCAAGGAAUUUUCAAGUACCUAAUUUAGGUUUUUUUCUUCAGCCCAAAAUAUCAUAAUUGAAGAGUUUAGGUGAAUAAACAGAGAUUAAACACCCCCUUCCCCCUAUUUUUAUGCACGUAUAUUUAAAUACAUCAUAAUACUAUUAAAGUUUGACAACAGCAGCUCUGGAGGAGGAA